rnacentral:lncRNA from 1 species
UUAUGAUUUUAUCACUAAAUUCCCUUGAUUUUGUAGGUUAUUGAAUGAUUUGAAAGAAGGGUUGAAGUAUCAAGGAGUUGGAAUGCAGAAAAGUCAACCAGUUAACCAGAAUGCUGAAAAGUCAACCAGAGUGCAGAAAAGUUGCGUUGAGCAGAAAUCGGUGCUGAGCGCCAGUGUCUAGACCGGUUUUUCAUUGUUUUUCGUAUGGGCGCCAACGCUGAGCGUUAUUCCGAGUGUCGCACCUACCGCUGAGCGG